UUACUACUCCUUUCGUCCCAAAUUACUCGUCGCUGAAAUGGAUGUAUCUAGAACUAAAAUACAUCUAGAUACAUCCAUACGUGCGACAAGUAAUUCGGAACGGAGGGAGUACUAC
rnacentral:pre_miRNA from 1 species